CUUCUCCCAUCUGUUGUACACUGAGUCUAAUGCAUGCUGGACAAGACUUUGAGGGACUGCUGUGUACACAUUCCACAAGCAGAAGGAGUAACGUUCAGUUUUGGUACUACAUGUUCAAGUCUCAGUGCCUGAGCUUACAGAGAACCAUGAGGUAUUACACAGCUUUCUGGCCAGAAAAUACCGGCAUUUUCUGCAUUUACUGAGGAGGAGAAAGUAUUGCCCAGAGGAUAAAUGAAGCCUGACAGCCUUUUCUGCCUUAUUUUCUGCUGGAAAUUCAAGGCAGCUGGAUGCAAUGCUGGCCAUCUCUCUCUUUUGUGUACUGCUGGCUGUGGAUGCUGGCACACCUUAACCAUGUUAGCCUGCUGGGCUAUUCAACACAGGCAGACCUUUGGCUUGAAUGCUGAUAAGCCUCGUGAUUCAGGACGAGUGCAUGCGUGACUGCUACAGCACAGGAAUAAGUAGGGAGAGGUGGUGGGUGACAUAUCCUUUCCAGUCCUAACCAUCUCAUGCAGUGGCUGUGAACAGCUUCAGCUUUUCUGGGCACAGGAAAUGCUCUCUCCCGGUGAGAAUACGUCACGGCACUGGAAUGACAAGCAAACCACUGUAUGCACUUAAUCGACAAAGCUGUUGUGAGGUAUAAUAAAUGAUGCAUGCAUACACGCAUGUACUGUGAACCAAAUGUCAUGUUGAAGUGAGUUACUGGUAGCAGUGGGAAGAGAACUGAGGAGUACCUGGCACUCAGCUCUGCACUCAGUGUGUGCACAUGUGCAUGCACACACACUCAAAU